ACUUGAGCUGUUCAAAGGGUGUUGGCAGGUGCCGCUGACUCCUCGGGCAAGGGAGAUCUCUGCAUUUGUGAGCCCUGACGCUUUCUUACAGUAUACGGUUAUGCCAUUCGGCGUGCGUAACGCACCUGCUACAUUUCAGCGUUUGGUAAACACGGUCUUGUCGGGCUUGUCAGGGUGCGAGGCAUAUUUGGACCAUGUGGUGGUUUCUUCGAGUUGGUGGGACGAUCACAUGCAGCAGCUUCAGGCAGUGUUUGGAAGGCUGCGUGAUGCCAAGCUCACACUCAAUUUGGCAAAGUGUGAGUUUGGUCAAGCUGCAGUGACGUAUUUGGGAAAAGUUGUGGGUCGGGGGCAAGUAAAGCCGGGGCAAGUAUUUCAUCCAGCUCACCCGUCGACUCUCUCUGAGAUCACCUAGCAGGAGUCUCGCCCGUUAUGUUUCUGUUGACUUGGUGACGGUGUGUGUUCUCAGUUUGGGGAGGAAAUCUCCACAUAUUCAUGUCUAAAAGUUUGCAAAACAGUGCAGCUUGAAGCGAGAAGUCAUGCUGGACUUUGCCAUCUCCGCUGUCACGUUUGUCAUCAUCUUGGUCGGCGCUGUUCUCUAUUUGUAUCCGACUGUCACCCAGCUGGCUCUGGGAGAGAGCUUCAAAGACGACGCCAAGGUCCUUUCCUUCCGCAAGAACCACGACGCGAUCUGGUCAGAAAUGGGAUCCCACUUCUGACACCACCGGUCGGAGGGUUAGGUGAUACGCGGUAGGUGCGCAUUUUCUGGAGGUUCCCGUUAGGCUUUAGGGCACUUUCUCCUUUGGGAUUGUGUCGGUUUGUUUUUUUCGUAGUGCUGUGGGGAGCGCUUAGUGUUGGCUGCGCAAGCAGCCUUCUCGGGGGCACUCCGUGGGCUCGCCUGUGGUGAUCCCGCUGGUUUCGUGCUUAAUCGACCCGCUGCAGAACCGCAUGAAGACCAGGGUUGAGGAUAGCCAGAUCCUGGGUUAGGCAGUUGGGGGAACGCUCUGGGGGGCCUUGCUUGCUCGUUGUGCACCUAGUCGUGUGGAUCCGGCUCCAGGUGAAUAUGGAUUUGUCAGCUUUUUACGAAGCGCCCGGUGCGGUGUUUUUGGAUUCGUGUAAGAAGGAUCAGUUGGUCCAAAUUGCUGAGCACUAUGGUAUUGCGUUGCAAGAGGGAAUGCUUAAGGAUGAAUUAAAAAUGUUUGUGUUGUUGACGUUGUUUGAGAAGGGUGUGUUACAGAAAGAGCCUGCGGCUGAGCCGGCGGCCGCGGCUGCGGUGAGGUCGGAGUCAGCCUCGGUGUCUGUGGGGCAGGUUGGGGUGCUCUCGUUUGAGCAACAGAGAGAAUUGUUGCAGCAGUGAUGUAAGGUUUGUAGUUUUUGAAAAUUCUGAAACAUUUAAAACAACUUAGCAUGGCACAAUGAAUGUAGUGCAGAUAUAGAACAAGAUAAUGUAGAUUAUAGGGGAAUUGAAAAACACCCAUAUCAGCAAGGUAAAUUACAGAAUGUGUCUGUUUAAGGCCUAGAUCCACCUGCCACUUUAGAAACAUUACCUACAUAGUUUUUCUUCACUUGCAAAUUCAUAACAUGGAUUAUUUUGUAAAUGGUAUGAGUGUACCGGUUUGACUUGUACUGGUGGUUGCUGCUGAUGGUGAUGACGUGAGGAGUCUGCGUUGAAGAUCUGUGGGUUAGAAGAGCUGACUGACGUCAAAACCCAACGUCAGUUUGACGUCCAACUCCAACGUUGGAUUCAGGUUGAUAUAUAGUUGGAAAUGAAGAUCAGACUGACGUCAAAACCCAACGUCAGUUUGACGUCCAACUCCAACGUUGGAUUCAGGUUGAUAUAUAGUUGGAAAAGAAGAUCAGACUGACGUCAAAACCCAACGUCAGUUUGACGUCCAACUCCAACGUUGGAUUCAGGUUGAUAUAUAGUUGGAAAAGAAGAUCAGACUGACGUCAAAACCCAACGUCAGUUUGACGUCCAACUCCAACGUUGGAUUCAGGUUGAUAUAUAGUUGGAAAAGAAGAUCAGACUGACGUCAAAACCCAACGUCACUUUGACGUCCAACUCCAACGUUGGAUUCAGGUUGAUAUAUAGUUGGAAAAGAAGAUCAGACUGACGUCAAAACCCAACGUCAGUUUGACGUCCAACUCCAACGUUGGAUUCAGGUUGAUAUAUAGUUGGAAAAGAAGAUCAGACUGACGUCAAAACCCAACGUCACUUUGACGUCCAACUCCAACGUUGGAUUCAGGUUGAUAUAUAGUUGGAAAAGAAGAUCAGACUGACGUCAAAACCCAACGUCACUUUGACGUCCAACUCCAACGUUGGAUUCAGGUUGAUAUAUAGUUGGAAAAGAAGAUCAGACUGACGUCAAAACCCAACGUCACUUUGACGUCCAACUCCAACGUUGGAUUCAGGUUGAUAUAUAGUUGGAAAAGAAGAUCAGACUGACGUCAAAACCCAACGUCAGUUUGACGUCCAACUCCAACGUUGGAUACACGUUGAUAGUUGAAAAUGAAGAUCUGACUGACCUCAAAUCCACGUUAUAAAUGUUAAUUAAUAGUUCUCUAAAUUUAAAUGAAAGCAGUUGCAACGCGUUCUGUUUCUACUCGGUACGAAUCACGGACACGUUUCUGACGUCACAAUUCAUAAUUUAUCUAGAAAAUAAAAUGAUAUAAAAGCGUCAAAUAGAGCUUGUUCAUAAAAAAUGUCCCACGUGAGGACCCCCCUUCACCGGUCCAGGCUUUAUAUGACAUUUUGUAAUUAUUUUAUCCAGACACUUUAUUAAUAUUUAUUUUAUCAACAUUUUUUCAUACAUUAUAUUAACAUAUUUUUCUGACAUUUUAUGAAUAUUUUUUUCGUGAAUUUUAUCCACAUUUUGUCAGACAUUUUGUCAACAUUUUUCGGACAUUAUAUUAACAAAUUUAAGACAUUUUAUUAGUAUUUUUUCAGUCAUUUAAUCAACAUUUUUUCUGGCAUUUUAUUAAUAUUUUUCGGACAUUAUAUUAACACAUUUACAACAUUUUAUUAGUACUUUUCAGACGUUUUGUCAACAUUUUUUUGCACAUUUUAUCAAUAUUUUUUUCAGACAUUUUGAUAAUAUUUUUUACCAACAUUUUUUUCAGGCACUUUAUGAACAUUUUUUCCAAAAAAAAGUCAUUAAUAUUUUUCACACAUUUCAUAAACA